UGUAAGUGAUUUUAAAAAGCAGAAGCUCCCCGAGGGCCAGGAGUGGAUCAGCCUGUCCCGAUGCAGCUCAUGGGCACCACACACAGAGUGAAUCUCAAUAUGCAGCCAUAGAGGAACCCAUGGUGCAGCAGUGGAUGCGGCCUGGAAGAGGUACAGCCCAUGGAGCAGGCUCUGAGGAGCAGGUCCCUGCUAGCCUCCUAAGCACCUGUAUGGAAUAGUGCUGCAAGUCUGAUUCUAUUUCUAGGUUUGAUGAGAGAAUACAGGAGCCUGUGGAGUCUGCAGAACUAUAGGCAUGAUACAGCAAAAUAUUCUACACUUCAAGAGCAAUGCCACAGAUACCUUCCUCUGAACAAAGAAUUCUGACUAGCCUUGAGGACAAGAAUAACAUCAGGCAUACCAGGAGGAGUUCUCCUACUAAGCAAGAGGUCAGUUGCUCUCUCCAGUAUGCCUAUUGUUGCAAAGUACCUGGUAAAGAAAACCAUUACAGUGGUCCUCCAUGUGAUGCCUACAGAGGAUACAACUACAAAUAUCUUGGUGAUAUACUCUUUAGAAGUGCUACUGAAAGGGAGAUCUUCUUUUCGUCUUCCAUCAAGCUAUUUCAGGACAGAAUAUUUCAUAUAACAAAACUCCCAGGGCUCCAAGUCAGCACACUGACUGUUUGGGGUAGAAACGAGGUUUUGUAAAACACUUCAAAACUUACAUUCUAAAUUCUGAAAGUAGCCACUCAUGUAGUGAAGUUUUGCUCUACUGUACAAUCUUUCAGUUGAGCACUGCCAAAUUUGUGUAGAGACGCAAGGACAUAUCAGAAGUAUAGCUCAAAUACUUGCCUGUUCUCUUAUUGAGGAUCAGUGCAGGAUCAGUAUUUCUUCAAAAAAGCUACAGGUCAGACAUGGUCAGUUCCUCACGGCUGUCCGACUUUUACUACUUUAUGGGUCAUAAUACUUUCCAGAUGGAUUGUAUUUCACCACUUCUUUACAGUUGGUCAUAAAAUCUUUGGCUUUGUACUGCAUGCCUCUGCUUUUGCAAUCUGCUACUUUUUUUGCCCUCUUUACUGUACCUAUGGGCACAAAACUCCUUUCACAGAACAAACCAGAUCUUCCUUCUCUGAAUGCAAUAUAAAGAUUUAGAUACAUGCAGAGAUAACCUAAGCCAGCCAUGAUGAAAAUGCCCUUUUUUCUGCAUUUGGUAGAAAAGGCAAGGAGAAGAGUUUUACUGGUGUCUGCUAGUUCUCAGGAGCACCCUUCUGAGAAGACAUUUUUCACAUUGAGAGAAGUCUGGUCUUCAGAGCAAAUGAAAGGGAAAAGGAAAAUUUUAUGUUACAGGGAUUUGCACCCACCCACUGGGUGGAGAAGAAGACCACAGAGAGAGGUCUUCUAGUUGGAGGAACAUGGUGUUACUGUCAACUCGUGACAUCAAACUGAACAUUUUUGUCUUUGUUUAAAAUGUUGUUAAUGUAUUUAGUUAAAAAGGAAGCUGCUCUGGGUUGUUUGGAAACUGAAGGAAAAUAAAAAGUCUUCUGUACUUUUCACAUUCUUCUUUAAAAUUUAUUAGUUUGGUUUAUAAUCACAUGAAAAAUGUGUGGCAAAUGAGAGAGUUUAAAAUAAAGAAGAAGG
ensembl:lncRNA